ACACAGAGAGCUUUUCUAUAUAUGUCUUAGUAUUGAGUUUCAUAGGGCACAUGAAUUGAGUUUCAGCCUGAGUGUUCCUCCUUUCUUCCUGUGGCAGAAUUAAUCCCUUCUUUUAGUAUAUCUUUAUAAUACUUGAUGGCUUGUUUUGUUGUAAUAUUUAUCACAUUUUGUCAUAAUUAAUUGUUUAUAUCUGUUUACCAUUGUAGACUGUAAGCUCCUUGAGGGCAGGAAUCAUGUCUUAGUCUUAUUCAUUUUUUUUUUUUUUUAACAUCCAUAGGAUACAAUAGAAGCCUGUCACGUAGUAGGCAUUGUGUGUGAGUGUGCACAUGAGUGGUACACAUUACGUACUAAAUGAAUGAGGGAGUGAUGGGUAAAAUUAGCAUUAUAUAUUGAUGAAAAUAUAUGUAUUCUGAAAAUGUCAUUUUUUUGGUCUCUGUUUUAUGUUUGUUUAUUAAUUUGUACCCUGCCUACUUUCAAAAAGGAUUUGAGGUAUCUUGUAUGUCCCCAUGUGGGAAAUUCUCAUUGAACCUUGUAUAUGGGAUAUCAGAACUAUAAAGCUAAAUGUACUGAAGUAAUGUAGAAUAAACGUAAUUCCUUAGCAUUUUUAGACAAGUGAACAUUGGGGUUUUGACAUCAUUGAUGACAUAAUCAAUGCCUAAUCAUUCUCCCUGACCUUUAUUUCCACCAUUUUCCAUUAUACUUGAAUAUAGGGAGCCACAUACUGCUGCCUAUAUAUUAAUAGUCAUUACAUUUGUUCAGAUCUUGACUUUGUUUUAUAUUUCUCUAGUCGGCGUGGCACAAGCCUAAUGGAAGAUGAUGAAGAGCCAAUUGUUGAAGAUGUUAUGAUGUCCUCAGAAGGGAGGAUUGAGGAUCUUAAUGAGGGAAUGGAUUUUGACACCAUGGAUAUAGAUUUGCCACCAUCAAAGAACAGACGAGAGAGAACAGAACUGAAGCCUGAUUUCUUUGAUCCAGCUUCAAUUAUGGAUGAAUCAGUUCUUGGAGUGUCAAUGUUUUAAUACCAGUACACAAUUAAAUCUGUGGUGAAGUCGUUUUCUAAGUGGAAGAGGAAAUUUUAAAGUGUGGUAGAUACAGUGAAAUUCUGUACAGAUUUUUCUCUAAGGAGAAUAUGACAUGCUUAUGCUUACCAAGAUCAAGUGCAUUGAGGGGCAGUUUUGUUUGCCUGAAAAAAAGUAAAGGACAAGUAAACAAUUUGAUGAUAAGCUACAGUUUUUCUUAGAAAGUAAAUAUUUUAUUUAUGCGCUGUUAGUUGGCUUUCAAAUCGAUUAUUUCAUGCUUUUUUUUAAAAAAAAAAAAACAAAAUAACAAUCUGAAAAGGCGUUUGGUACAGAUACGAAUUCUCUUACAUUUAUUUACUGGUUGUACUAAAUAAAUAUGACCUCUGCUGGAUUUCUGUUUACAUCCAAUAAACAAUGUUAAGGAUGUAUUUAUUCCCCUACCCUGAAGAAAGUUUAGGAUAGAAUUGUUUUUAGCAUUCUAAAUUUAAAUGCUUAAAACAUCAAUCAACAAAACUUUGUUUUAAAUAUUGUAAUUGUGGAGAAAAGUAAACUUAUAAGCAGAACUUUUACAAUUUUUUCAUCUAAAAGUAUUUUAAGAUAUUUUUAAAAUCCAAGAGCUUCUCUAUACUUUUCAGAAAUAUCCAGAUGCAGUGAACUGCCAGAAGGUAACCAGUCUCAAACAUGCUUAUCCCAUUAUCAACCCUGAAAGUUUGCUUGUCCUUUAAGAUAAAAAUGUAAUGUUGUGAUAUUCCUUCCAGUAGUGCCACUGUAUUUUGUCUCCAAAUAAAAGAAGCUUAUUGUAGUAUGUUUGCAGAAAAAUUCUAAACAAAAAUUAUACAGCUUAUUAGAGUGUGGGAAUAGGGAUCUAAAUUUUAAAUAAAAUUAUAUAUAUAUAUAAAUUGGUGCUGAUUUUAUAAUUGCGCAGUUUGUUUAGUUUUUUCUUACUUUUAAAUUCCAACUUAAAAUUAUGAGGUUUCAGAAAUAUAUUGAAAGUUUAACAAUGUUUAAAAAUAGAAAAGCAUGAGUGUUCAUGCUUUAAAAUGAUUUUUAAAUUUGUAUUUUAUAUUGUUUUAUCUAUCUGUCUUUGCAAGCAGUCUUCAGGUUAAAGAUACUUCUAACAGGUUACAGUACAUUUCCUCUGUAUGUAAAUUAGAUGGGAUAAUAGAAUUCAUAACCCAUAAUAUUCUUUGAAAGCUAAGCUUUAAACUUCAUUUUAUGUCCUUUCACAAAUAAAUUAGUUUAAAACAGAAAGUGGCUACUUGCCAUUUUGACAUCAACUCAUUUUGCGAGGCUUAGGCAGCUAGACAUCGUUUAAAACAAAAUAUUAACUUAUAUUACAUGUGUAUCUAUCUUUUGUCAGUCGUCUCUCUCGGUUCUUGAGGUAUAUUAUUUUAAUCAUUCCAUGCCUUAAUAUGCUUGCAAUACAAGAAUAUCUUCAGAUGGGUGAAUACCAAAAGGCUUCCAGUUUUUAGUCAGAAAUCAACAAGCAUUGGGCUGUGGUAGCCAAAAACCAUAGGUUAGCUAAAAAGAUCAUGAUACAAUACAAUUAUUUUAUUAAGUCAUGGUUAAUAACAAGUGAAUCCAGACUUGUCUAACAGAUUUUCCAUCAACAAAUAUUGUUAUGUGCAAAAGUAUUGCCUAUGUUGUUUUACACACCACUGCAUUAACUAGAACUGCUGAGAGGACUGUAUAUAUGAUUUUAAACCUAAGUUGAUUUUUUUUCUCACUCUUGAAAGGAGUACUUCUUUGUGAAAGCAGUUCUUACAGCUUUGUUUUCAACCAGCUAAAAAUGUUUUAUAUAUUACUCUAACCUGUUGUCCUCCACAUUCUAUUGUCCUAAUUGUACUGUUUUCUGAUUUGUAUUUAUGUCUUGAGACAGUAACUUUUUGAAUAAAAAUAAACCUACAGUA